rnacentral:misc_RNA from 1 species
GAUGAAGAACGUAGCGAAAUGCGAUAAGUAAUGUGAAUUGCAGAAUUCAGUGAAUCAUCGAAUCUUUGAACGCACCUUGCGCUCUUUGGUAUUCCGAAGAGCAUGCCUGUUUGAGUGUCAUGAAAAUAUCAACCUUGACUUGGGUUUUGUGCUCUAGUCUCGGCUUGGAAUUGGGUGCUUGCCGCUUUUACGAGCGGCUCACCUUAAAUGUAUUAGCUGGAUCUGUCUUUGAGACUUGGUUUGACUUGGCGUAAUAAGUAUUUCGCUAAGGACAUUCUUCGGAGUGGCCUCGUUUCUAGGACGCUUGUCCGCUUUCCAAUACAAGUUCCACCUCGUGGACAUGACUUUUUAUUAUCUGGCCUCAAAUCAGGUAGGACUACCCGCUGAACUUAAGCAUAUCAAUAAGCGGGGA